AUGCAACGCGAAGAACCUUACCUGGGCUUGACAUGUACGUAGUAGUGAAGGGAAACCGGAACGAGCCUUCGGGCAGCGUAGACAGGUGCUGCAUGGCUGUCGUCAGCUCGUGUCGUGAGAUGUUGGGUUAAGUCCCGCAACGAGCGCAACCCGUGUUGCUAGUUACAAGUGUCUAGCGAGACUGCCGGUAACAAGCCGGAGGAAGGUGCGGAUGAUGUCAAGUCAGCAUGGCCUAUAUGUCCAGGGCUACACACACGCUACAAUGGCUGGUACAAAGAGAAGCGAAAGGGAGACCUGAAGCGAAUCUCAUCAAAGCCAGUCAUAGUUCGGAUUGCAGGCUGCAACUCGCCUGCAUGAAGUCGGAGUUGCUAGUAACCGCAGGUCAGCAAUACUGCGGUGAAUACGUUCCCGGGCCUUGUACACAC
rnacentral:rRNA from 1 species